GCCGGGCAUGGUGGCUCAUGCCUGUAGUCCCAACUACUCAGGAGGCUGAGGUGAGAGGAUUGCUUGAGCCCAGGAGUUAGAGGCUGCAGUGAGCCACGAUCAUGCCACUGUGUUCCAGCCUGGGCAACAGAGCAAGACCCUGUCUCAU
ensembl:misc_RNA Metazoa_SRP Metazoan signal recognition particle RNA